GUACUGCUGAUGAGUCCCAAACAGGGACGAAACAGCUGUCCAGCAC
rnacentral:hammerhead_ribozyme from 1 species